AGUGAACGCUGGCGGUAGGCCUAACACAUGCAAGUCGAACGGCAGCACAGUAAGAGCUUGCUCUUACGGGUGGCGAGUGGCGGGCGGGUGAGGAAUACAUCGGCAUCUACUUUUUCGUGGGGGAUAACGUAGGGAAACUUACGCUAAUACCGCAUACGACCUACGGGUGAAAGCAGGGGAUCUUCGCACCUUGCGCGAUUGAAUUAGCCGAUGUCGGAUUAGCUAGUUGGUGUGGUAAAGGCCCACCAAGGCGACGAUCCGUAGCUGGUCUGAGAGGGUGAUCAGCCACACUGGAACUGAGACACGGUCCAGACUCCUACGGGAGGCAGCAGUGGGGAAUAUUGGACAAUGGGCGCAAGCCUGAUCCAGCAACACCGCGUGGGUGAAGAAGGUCUUCGGGUUGUAAAGCUCUUUUGUUAGGAAAGAAAAGAAGCAGGUGAAUAUGCCGAUGUUCUGACGGUACCUAAAGAAUAAGCACCGGCUAACUUCGUG
rnacentral:rRNA from 1 species